ensembl:lncRNA
GAAGAGGGAUGGUGGAAGCAGGAAGUAGCCACCGAAGUUGUAGCCAACAAAGUUUAAAACAAGACAAGAAACUUCCCCUUUCAUCUCUCCAGCAGCUCAGGCCAGAGAUGGCUUGGAACACUCAGUGGCCUCCCAUUUGGGUGCCAGACGCCUCCUCCAGGUCUGCCUUGGUUCUGAGGCUUGAAAGCCCCAGGUACCCAAAGUUCCUCGGCUUCCCAAAGUCCUUUUAAGGCCUGGGGGGGGGGGGGGGCGCAGCGGAGGUCCACAUGCCCCUCAUUGUGCGCGUGCGAGGCGGGGAAUGAUUAACUCCAACGAGCCCGCCAUAUGCAGGGCCCAGACGAACCCGGGCUCCAAAGCUCACGGCAAGCACCAUGGAACACAACACCGGGCCACGGACGCGGGCGUGCGGGGGCGGGCGAGACAGAUGACAGGUCUGAGGUGCAGCAGCACGCGGGGUGAGGCGGCUCCACGCUCGUCGUCCGGCCCGCGCGCGCUCAGAGCUCCAGCCUAGGCCUCUCCAGCCCUGGCCCGGGUUCUCCGCCUCCAUAGCGCAAUCGCCCCCUCCCCGCCGCAGGUCUGUCCCCGCGCGGACACAGCGCCCAGCACGCUGAACGAGAAGAGAAGGGACGCCCGCUCCAAGUUCCCGCAGCUCGCGAGCCUCUCGUCGCGCCUCCCCGGCCGUGCCGCCAGCGGGUCCCUGCGGUCACCACGUUUCUCGCGCGCGCGCAGGAGCAGCGAGCCGCAGUCCCCCAGCCGCUGGUAGCGGGAGUGGAGAGGCUCGGGAGGGCUUUGCAGCCGGGGCCGCGCCUGGGUGGGCGGGCCGCGGGCGAGCUGCGUAGCUGCACAAACACGGCGGGGCUGCGCUGCACACGCAGCUGCGGGGUGCGGGCCGGGCAGAGGAGGGCUACGGCGGCCCCACGUACCGGCUCCCGCCGCCCCGCAGGCCGCAGAAGUUGGCCGCCGGGGGCCCCGCGUGUGCAGUGCUGCAGCCACCUCCUGCACGGUCGCCCCGGGAUCCCCUCGCUGGUCCAGCCGCCUGCAGGCCUCGGCCGUCCCCCGAGCUACACCACUUACCCAGCUCCCGCUCGGCCUCCGGCCCCAGCAGUCUCCCUUCCUUCCGCCGCGGGCCGCCGCCGCCGCCACCGCCUUGGGUCGCCUCCGAGGAGCCCAGCCGCCUGCACGCACUCCCGGAUUUUAAAAACAAACAGGCGCCGUCGCCUCCCCGCGGCGUUAGCGGGGCUUUCGCCAAGCCCGCGCCUCCCGAAGCGGGGAAGUUUGCUGGCAGGGCCCGGGCGGGACGUGCGUGCUGUCACCCACUGCUCGAGACACGGCAGCGUCGGCGCGCCUCGCGCCCUUACAGUCCGCCUGGAGAGCGCUCUCCCUCCCUGCGUGUCACCCCCAGUCCUGCGAUGCAGUGUCAGGAUUGCACGACUCUGACUCAUCGGUUGAGCUCACAGCUUGAAGAAAAAAAAAAAAGGAGAGAGAGAGAGGGCGAGAGGCAACAGCGAAGGAGGAGGACUCGCUGGCGUGCUACAAAGGAUUGCACAACUCGAGGCUGGGAGCGCCGAGCGCCCAGUGGCUGGCCGGCGCGCGCGGCACGGCGGCGAGCAGGAACCAGCUCUACCACUUCAUCAGCACAACUGUCUCUGGGCGGCCUCUCCGCCUGCAAGCUCCGCACCGCCCACUUCCUGCGACCAAAUAAGGCCAGGGAGGCGUCUUUAAACCUCAGGGCGGCUGCCCGGGUUGGGGAUUUCCAGCAGACCUCACCUCCACUUGCAGAGGCUUUGGCCACCCUCCACCCCAAGCCUAGGCCUGAGCCGUCCCCCCACCCCAUGGCUCUUCUGUAACCAACAGGCCACGCGGCUUGUUCCUUGCACACCAAGAGUUCUUCCUCCCUGUGGCAGGCAGUUCAUCCAGGUGAGAAAAAACAAAAGCAACACACUUGGUCUCCAGAGUCCUUCAUUAAACCUGCAGCCAUCCUGACCUUCCUAAAGGCUCAACCCCUGCAACUAACCAGGGCCUGCCCAGAGGGAGCACCUGAAAAAGAGUAUAAGCCAGUCCCAGGACAUCCCCUAAAAUGACCUAGCUGGGGAGCACAUUCCUAGAAGAGUCUGCCACCAUAAAGCCAGGCCUCACGGGAACCAGUGGGAAUCCCUGCAAAGAGCACUGCUCAACCUGGUCUCAGGGGACUUCCUCUCCCACCACACAAACUGCUGGGCCCGUCCCAGAAGUCGCAUGGGGAGGAGAGGCAGAUGGUAAGAUGCACAAGAAAGAGAAGUCAGUGGCCCCGAAGGAAGCCACCCUCCUUGAGCAGCACACUUUCUUCUUCCUUCAGCUACCCUUCUGAAUUUGGGCCACCUCAGAAAGAAGGAGAGGGGCUGACCUGACAAGGUAGAAGCCUACCUCCCACCAAGCAAAUGGGGUGAUAUAGAGGAAGCUACAGCCCUUCUGGGAAAGCCUUGGAGGUAACCCACGCCCAGGUCUCCCAGCAGUACUUCCAAGAAGCCUUUCUUCAUUCC